UUCAAGACACCCCACAGAGUGGAGGAGCAGGAGACCUCCUCCCCUUCUGGCCAUUUGUUUCAUUUCAAAUCCCUUCACCCAUUCUUCCUUCUACUCAGUCUGCUCAAAAUGAUUACAUGAAAAUGUCAAUGCAAGUGAACUAACACUCAUGUCUGGUAUCAUUGGAAAUGUCUCAGUGCAACUGGUACAAUGGUCUCAAUCUUACAAAAGUAGAUUAGAAGAUGAUACAGAUCUGAAGAGUCAAGAGAUAUCUUGAUUACUGUGAUGGGAGUGUCCUUUCCUAGGGCCCUCCAUGUAAAUUACCCCCUGUUCCCAUUGAGUUGUAAAACCACCCAGGCUUGGGACCUGAGUUAAUGCAAAUUCCAAUUGUUAGUUUCUGUCUUCAUCUCGGGGGAUGUUUGUCUUGGUCUAAGGUAUUUAAAGGAUUGCAGCAAAAGGAUCAGGGCGAUUUCUGUAGCCAGAAAGCCCGUAGUGUGUUGUGUGUCUCUUCACUUCUUACUAUGUAUUUUCUAAGGUCAGGUAUGCAUAUUUUACUUUUAGAUUCAUCUUUGAGAAUUUGAUGUUUUGUAUUGAUAUGCUUUGAUGUGUUUCAAUUGGAUAUGUAAUUGGCAAAAUACAUAUCUACCUGACUGUAAAUAAAUUGUUACAUUUUGAUUCUA